GUUGGAAGGUGGUAACUGGAUAAAUAACAGACAAAGCAUUGGUGGUUGGAGAGCGGUGACUCUGGUGGAACUGAGGAACCGGUCGGACACCGGCCAAGCCAACAGAUCUCCCCAAACCACCGUCCUGCCAGCUGUGAGAGUUCCUUCAAACUGUUUGAGAGAUUUCAACCUGUUGGCCUUUGACCCUGAUGGAGACGAGGUUAGAUGCAGAUACGGCAGCAUAGCACUGUCGGAGUGUAGCGAUUGCUCGCAGCCGUCUGUUCUCAGCCUCUCGUCAUCCUGCGCUCUGUCGUUCACCUCCACCAGUAG